rnacentral:rRNA from 1 species
UUCAGUGAAAUCGAGUAGGGCGGGACACGUGAUAUCCUGUCUGAAUAUGGGGGGACCAUCCUCCAAGGCUAAAUACUACUGACUGACCGAUAGUGAACCAGUACCGUGAGGGAAAGGCGAAAAGAACCCCUGUGAGGGGAGUGAAAUAGAACCUGAAACCGUGUACGUACAAGCAGUAGGAGCAGGCUUUGUCCUGUGACUGCGUACCUUUUGUAUAAUGGGUCAGCGACUUAUAUUCAGUGGCAAGGUUAACCAUCUAGGGGAGCCGUAGGGAAACCGAGUCUUAACUGGGCGUUCAGUCUCUGGAUAUAGACCCGAAACCAGGUGAUCUAGCCAUGGGCAGGUUGAAGGUUGAGUAACAUCAACUGGAGGACCGAACCGACUAAUGUUGAAAAAUUAGCGGAUGACUUGUGGCUAGGGGUGAAAGGCCAAUCAAACCUGGAGAUAGCUGGUUCUCCCCGAAAGCUAUUUAGGUAGCGCCUCGGACGAAUACUACUGGGGGUAGAGCACUGUUAAGGCUAGGGGGUCAUCCCGACUUACCAACCCUUUGCAAACUCCGAAUACCAGUAAGUACUAUCCGGGAGACACACGGCGGGUGCUAACGUCCGUCGUGGAGAGGGAAACAACCCAGACCGCCAGCUAAGGUCCCAAAUUACUACUAAGUGGGAAACGAUGUGGGAAGGCUCAGACAGCCAGGAUGUUGGCUUAGAAGCAGCCAUCAUUUAAAGAAAGCGUAAUAGCUCACUGGUCGAGUCGGCCUGCGCGGAAGAUGUAACGGGGCUAAGUAGUAAACCGAAGCUGCGGCAAUGUGCUUUUGCACAUUGGGUAGGGGAGCGUUCUGUAAGCGGUUGAAGGUGUGUGGUAACGCAUGCUGGACGUAUCAGAAGUGCGAAUGCUGACAUGAGUAACGAUAAAGGGGGUGAAAAACCUCCUCGCCGGAAGACCAAGGGUUCCUGUCCAACGUUAAUCGGGGCAGGGUAAGUCGACCCCUAAGGCGAGGCCGAAAGGCGUAGUCGAUGGGAAACGGGUUAAUAUUCCCGUACUUCUUACAAUUGCGAUGGGGGGACGGAGAAGGCUAGGUGGGCCUGGCGACGGUUGUCCAGGUUCAAGUGCGUAGGCUUAAGAGUUAGGUAAAUCCGGCUCUUUUUAAGGCUGAGACACGACGUCGAGCA